UACGUAGGUGGCAAGCGUUGUCCGGAUUUACUGGGCGUAAAGCGUAUGCAGGCGGAUUGUUAAGUAGGAAGUGAAAGGUUGGAGCUCAACUCUAACACUGCUCCCUAUACUGGCAGUCUUGAGUGGCGGAGAGGAAGACGGAACGACACGUGUAGCGGUGAAAUGCGUUGAUAUGUGUCGGAACACCAAUGGCGAAAGCAGUCUUCUGGACGCAAACUGACGCUGAGAUACGAAAGCCAAGGUAGCAAACAGG
rnacentral:rRNA from 1 species